GACGAACGCUGGCGGCGUGCUCAACACAUGCAAGUCGAACGAUGAAGCUGGAGCUUGCUCCGGUGGAUUAGUGGCGAACGGGUGAGUAACACGUGAGCAAUCUGCCCUUGACUCUGGGAUAACUGCGGGAAACUGUAGCUAAUACCGGAUACGAGGCUCGAAGGCAUCUUCGGGUCUGGAAAGAAUUUCGGUCAAGGAUGAGCUCGCGGCCUAUCAGCUUGUUGGUGAGGUAAUGGCUCACCAAGGCGACGACGGGUAGCCGGCCUGAGAGGGUGACCGGCCACACUGGGACUGAGACACGGCCCAGACUCCUACGGGAGGCAGCAGUGGGGAAUAUUGCACAAUGGGCGAAAGCCUGAUGCAGCAACGCCGCGUGAGGGAUGAAGGCCUUCGGGUUGUAAACCUCUCUUAGCAGGGAAGAAGCGAAAGUGACGGUACCUGCAGAAAAAGCACCGGCUAACUACGUGCCAGCCGCCGCUGUAA
rnacentral:rRNA from 1 species